rnacentral:piRNA from 1 species
UAACCAAUAUAUAGAAACACG